rnacentral:rRNA from 1 species
GGAAGUAAAAGUCGUAACAAGGUUUCCGUAGGUGAACCUGCGGAAGGAUCAUUAAUGAAUUUAGAUUGAACCAUAGGCGAAAGCCAGUGGUUCUUCUUUCAUAUCCAUAACACCUGUGCACUGUUGGAUGCUUGCAUCCACUUUUAAACUAAACAUUAUUGUAACAAAUGUAGUCUUAUUAUAACAUAAUAAAACUUUCAACAACGGAUCUCUUGGCUCUCGCAUCGAUGAAGAACGCAGCGAAAUGCGAUAAGUAAUGUGAAUUGCAGAAUUCAGUGAAUCAUCGAAUCUUUGAACGCACCUUGCGCUCCUUGGUAUUCCGAGGAGCAUGCCUGUUUGAGUGUCAUGAAACCCUCAAACCCAAGUUUUGGAUUUCGAUCCACGCUUGGAGUUUGGGAUUUGGAUGUUUGCCGGUGAUGAACCGACUCAUCUUAAAAGUAUUAGCUUGGACCUGUCUAUAUGACUGGUUUGACUUGGCAUAAUAAGUAUUUUGCUGAGGACAUCUUCGGAUGGCCAGGACCUAGACUACUGUCUGCUAACUAAACCAUCACUUUAAGUGCAUCUUUGGAUGUUACUCAUUGUGUAACUUUGACAUCUGGCCUCAAAUCAAGUAGGACUACCCGCUGAACUUAAGCAUAUCAAUAAGCGGAGGAAAGGGCGAAUU